CCUACGUGUGUCAGCAGUGGGGAAUAUUUGGCAAUGGGCGCAAGCCUGACCCAGCAACGCCGCGUGAAGGAAGAAGGCUUUCGGGUUGUAAACUUCUUUUCUCAGGGACGAAGCAAGUGACGGUACCUGAGGAAUAAGCCACGGCUAACUACGUGCCAGCAUCCGCGGUAAUACGUAGGUGGCAAGCGUUAUCCGGAUUUACUGGGUGUAAAGGGCGUGUAGGCGGGGACGCAAGUCAGAUGUGAAAACCACGGGCUCAACCUGUGGCCUGCAUUUGAAACUGUGUUUCGUGAGUACUGGAGAGGCAGACGGAAUUCCUAGUGUAGCGGGGAAAUGCGUAGAGAUUAGGAGGAACACCAGUGGCGAAGGCGGUCUGCUGGACAGCAACUGACGCUGAGGCGCGAAAGCGUGGGGAGCAAACAGGAUUAGAUACCCGGGUAGUC
rnacentral:rRNA from 1 species